CGGCAAACACGCCCCUCCGCGCCCACCUCGCUCACACCGCCGCUCACCCUGGCAGCAGCGCUGGCUCACACCGGCGCUCACCGGCCCGCGCGCUCCCUCUCACGCGCGCACCGCCGCGGGGCGGCCCAGGAGCUGCUCUGGCAGCCACAGGCCAGUGCUGAAUAUCCCGUUUGUUCUCCGGCGGCAGGAGGGGCGGCUCCGAGGCCAGAGCCGCCCCCUCUCUUGGGACUGGCGGGCGUCUCCUCCCGGCACCCCGGGACCCACGGGUCGUCUCGCGUCCCGCCCGCAGGGACCCCGGAGAGAAGAGGACCCCUUGCGGAGUGAUUCUUUUGUGUUUUCACUGGUGUGACAAUGACAGGGGAGAUUCUUCUCUGUGCCGGGAUUUAAACAUGGGUUCUCAGGUCUUCUGAGAAGCAGACACCAGUACAGAACCUGAUUCUGCAAAAGAUCAAUGUGCAAAAGAUAUAUCGGGGAAAUGUCAAUGGAGGACAAAGGGAAGAAGAACCAUGAGUAGGAGCAGUUCAGCACUUGGCAGGAAGACAAGAGGUCAACACCCCAGGACAGAGAGAAUACCUAAGAUGAGGAAAUGGAGGCUGAGGUGCCGAGUAGUUUGCCUAAGGGGACAGAACGCUGAAAUAAUGACGCGAGAAGUCAAAACCAACCUGGAUCCUCCCAUGCAAGACACAAGAAGCCACCAGAGGAAGGGGAAGGCGGGAGCUUAGAGCACCUUGGCGUGCUCAGCACGGCCUUUGCCGUGCUCUCCUCUGCGCCUCUGGAGGCCUUGAGUUCUUGUCCCCUUGUCCCCUCUGCCCCUGCCCGGCCGCCCCGCCGAGGCCACAGCACCCUGCCACGCCAACCUCCCCGCGCUCUUUCCGAGACCCAAGUGGACCUCCAGGACGACCCCACCGUCCGGGCCCAGCUGUAUCGAAUCCUACCUGCCCCCGACUGAGGAGCUCGGGGCCUACCGCAGGCUGCGUAUCUGGGUCUGCGUGUGUGUGUGUCCACUGUGUGUGUGUGCGUGUUUGUGUGUGUGUCCACUGGAGUGUCAGAAUCCCCCAUCCUCACCUGGGAGGUCCCGCUUUUUCCUCCCUGCGGGGUUGCCUGCCUGGGCAGUCAUCCAACUCUGUGUCCACCGCGGAGACAGUGGGGACAGUGUGCCAAGACCCACCAACCAGGCUGGACCCUAAGAUGCCCGGAACUCGUGGGCAGCUAUUCCAGAUACGGCCUCCUAUUUUUCAGGAUGGCACUUGUUUCUGUUAGAGAUUUCUUACAGGAGGUUGUGAAUAGUCAUCAGCGCUUUUAGGGAGAGCCAAGUGACACUGCAUCUUGGCAGAUGUCUGUCAAAACCACUUGUGGGACUGGACAGUGAGGACCAGGAGAAAAGGUUUAUUUUUUUUAAAAAGGUAGUCUGGCAUUCAUAUGACAAGCCCUAUUUUGUUAUGCCCACCCAAGAACAAGGGGAGAACCUCAUCUUCACCGUGCUUGAGUCUGACUCAGUGUAGCUGUGACUCAUCCUUUUUAGGACAGCUUCCCUGCUACAAUAGCGCAAAUGAUGGCCCGGGUACUAAAACGACUUUGUCAAACAGUUGGAUGGAUGGAGAGAAGGUGGUAGAGUCGCCAUCCAAUGCCAAGCCCUCCCCCCCUCCCCCGCUUUUCCUUUAAGCUGUUCUCUUGAAGUUCAUAGUAGCCAGGUUUCAUGGUGAGGCACCAUGAUUUAUAUUAUACCACUUACCCUGGAUCCCCUUACGUGUUUAUGUGACAGAUUGGCACCCAUAUAUUAACAAGCUUUAAAUUUGGCAAGACAUAGGUAACACCAGAAUUAAAAGUGAGGGGCUUCUGGCAGGAUUUCACAUCUGCUAGCUUUUAUAUUUGACGCUUUCUCUAGGAGCUUGGCAAAAAGCAAACACCAAAUCAAAAGGUAAAAAAAUAAAAUCAAAACAACAACAAAAAAAUCAAACCGAAAUAAAGGUAACAACAGGAGAGAACUGGGACACGAUCUUCUUAUAGUUGGCUUAUUACAUAUGUGUAUCUGUAGAAUUAUUUAUUUCCUUAAACCCAUUUCCUUUUGUACUUUAUGACAUUUCUGUGUAAUUGAAAUAAGAAUCUCAGAGACCUCUAAACUGAUAUUUAUAGAUCCUACCCUCAAAACAGAUUGAUAGUGAGGUAGGGAUGAACUAAUGUAAUCAACCACUGAAUUAAUAAGAGCUGGAGUAAAAACCAGGCCAUUAGCUUCACUCAGGUCGUCUUGAGGUAGUAAAGUAGCUCUCUGUCACUUCUCCCCGCCUUUCAGUUUUCCACGUAUAUUUUUACAAUUGUAAAGGAUCAAGAUAGGAAGAAUGGAAAUUAUGGGAGCAGGCAGGAUGUGAAAACUGUCUUAUUAAUCCUAUGGCUUAAAAUGUAUUUAUAAAUUGCAAAGUUAAUCAGAUUCCUUAAAUCUAAAAUCUAUUUCUUUUUUCUUUCUUUCUUUUUUUUUUUUUUUUUUUUUGAGACGGAGUUUCGCUGUUGUUACCCAGACUGGAGUGCAAUGGUGUGAUCUCGGCUCACUGCAACCUCCGCCUUCUGGGUUCAAGCAAUUCUCCUGCCUCAGCCUCCUGAGUAGCUGGGACUACAGGCGCACACCACCAUGCCCAACUAAUUUUUGUAUUUUUAGUAGAGACGGGAUUUCACCUCGUUGACCAGGAUGGUCUCGAUCUCUCUCUCUCUUUUUUUUUUUUAGACAGAGUUUCGCUCUUGUUACCCAGGCUGGAGUGCAAUGGCGCUAUCUCGGCUCACCGCAACCUCCGCCUCCUGGGUUCAGGCAAUUCUCCUGCCUCAGCCUCCCGAGUAGCUGGGAUUACAGGCACACGCCACCGUGCCCAGCUCAUUUUUUAAAUAUUUUUAGUAGAGACGGGGUUUCACCAUGUUGACCAGGAUGGUCUCAAUCUCUUCACCUCGUGAUCUACCCGCCUCGGCCUCCCAAAAUGCUGGGAUUACAGGCUUGAGCCACUGUGCCUGGCCAAAUCUAUUUCUUUUAGGAAUCUUUUCAGCUCUUAAGAAAAAAGUUUUUGGAGGUCAGAAACUGAUAGUGGACUUCUGAAAAAGAGAAGAGAGAAAGAAAUUAUAAGUAAUUCAAAAGUCUUAUCUCUAUGUGGAAUUUCCUUUUCUUUCAAGGUGUUUAUUUGCUAAUAUUCCUGUGUUUUUCUCUCUCUCUUUUUUCUUUUUUUUAUUCCCAUUAAGUGGAGGUUACACCUUUUGUAAUUGCCCCACAGUUCUUGUAUAGUCUCUUCUGAUUUUUUUCUAGUCUUUUUUUCUUUGUAUUAGAAGUUUCUAGUGACAUAGCUGGCUUUUUUACUGCAACCUGUUUUAUCAGCAAGGUCUUCAUGACCUGUAUCUUGUGCUGUACAGGGAAAAAAAGAACUUGGUACCGGUUCCUGCAGAAAUUUCUGUUUAUGGGUUCCGGCUCUGUUAAGUUUUGAUUCUCUAUAUCUACCUCUUUGUCUCUCCAGUUUUGGGGACAGCAGUUUGCUCUCUGACUCUAUGUCUCUGACGAACCCAGGAAGUUGAUUUUUCAGUUCAGCUUUUUACUUGGUAGGAUGGAGUGACAACUUUCAAGCUCUUUACAUCCUAUACUGGAAACUCUAAGUCCUCAGUCAAUAUUCUUUCAUUACAGGAAAUGGGAACCUUCUGAUAAACUUAAGGUGGGAAAAAAGAACAAAAAAUAAAGAAAUAAUUUCUUGAAAGUCUAAGGGGUAGCCCAGAGAAUUACAUGAAGACCUGUUCAGGCAAGUCAUAGAAAAUAAAGAAUUGAGAGAAACUCAGAGUUUGCAGGCCUACCUUGGAUUGCAGUCCCACCAAGCUUCGGUAGGUGAGAUUAUUCCUCAAAGGAAAUUCAGGGCACUGUUAGCAGAAGGAUGCAUUACAGGGAUAUUACCUUUGUCCAGGGAAAGAGGAAACCAAGCAGCUGUUGAGAUCCUGACUCACUCUGGCUAUUCCCCACUGGGAAGGAGAACCACAAUUAACUUUUUAGAUCAAAGACUUAUAGGAUUCUCAUCCAAUGUUAGAAUUCUGAAUAUUCUUUAUAUUUAGUGAAUUUUUGAAUAUUGGGGGUUAAAUUUUUAUAUGAACAUUAUAUAAAUCACACUGAUACAUAAGAAUACCACUUAUUGUUCAUAGGAUUUAUUUUAUUUUUGUUUUUUAAUUUUUUGUCAAGACAGGGUCUUACUAUGUUGCCCAGUCCUAGCCUCAAGUGUCCCUCCUGCCUCAGCCUCCCAAAGUGCUGGGAUUACAGGCAUGAGCUACCGAACCCAGCCUGGAUUUAUUUUAGAUUUUUUCACUUGACAUGUAUUCUAAGUAUCCGUAGUGUAUCUCCCUUUACUCACUUUAAGUAAACACUAUGGAAAAAAGUUCCUAGAUAAUUAUUUUCCUAGUGUUUAUUUUUUUACUUUGAAAUAGAAUCAAACUGUCUAAAGAUGCUGCCUGAUCCAGAAUCUGCUUUGUUUUGCCAAGGAAAAUUAAAGAUAAAAAAUCCGAGGCUGAGCAGACUACUUGCCAACGAUUUAUCUGGGGAGUAAAGAGCAUUCCUGAUCACCAUCCUUUUCUGCUUACCUGAUAUAUCAAUUUGAGGUCAAUUGCAGACCACAGAAUUUACUCAAGCUCGUUGGUGCUAAAGGGGAUUUAUUAUUAGGCAUUGGUUGGCUUAUAAACUCACCAGAAGAAUUACAGGAGUAGACUCAAGUUUGGAUUCUUUGAACAAGAGUUAGAAUAACUCUACAUUGAGUAGGAAAGCUGACAGAAAGUGGCAGAACCAGGAAGCUACUGACCAAGUCCUUCAGCUAUACCAGUAUAGAUGCUUUGUGUUCAUUCUUUGAGAAAACUGAAGUCAGGCAUGAAAGUGGAGGAGAUUGUAAAAGAAUGUACAAGAGUCACAGAGGCCAAAGGAAGAGUGUUUCAAAGAGAACAGAAUGGAAAAGAGGAUCUCAGAAAUGUCUAACCAUCAACAAGGAGGCUGUUGGAAAUCUUAGAAUCAUUCUAGUGAGCUCAAUGAAGCAGGAAUGCAGUGGGUAAAGGAGUGAGUGGGAGGUACAAAAACAAAGGCGGUGUGCACCACUCUUUCAAAAAAGCCUGGCCGUGAAAAAGAAGAGAGAGGGGGGUGUUGUUAGAGUGUGGCAUAGUGGGGAGAGGGUGACUUUCUCAUUUUAGAAGGUGGGAGAGACUAGUAGUACAUUUUUAAAUUCUUGUAGGAGGAAUCCUAUUGAGUAGAAGUUGUUGAACAGACAGGAGAACAAUGUGUAAUGGAUGGAGUGUGGUUCCUGAAAAGGUGGGAAGUGGUCAGAUCAGAGAGUUGAGGAGAGGGUGGGAGUGGUAGGGUCUGAUAUUCGAGAUAUCUGCAAUAAAGAAAGGGAGAGAAAGCAGUUCAGGCAUCAGGCAGCUUUAAGUCCUGAUACAGAAUAUCUGUACUUAAAAAAAUGAAGUAUUGCAAAUAUCUAAUAGGUAGAUCCUAAAAUGUGGGACUGGGUCAGUCAUGGUAGGAUGGCAGCUAUGCAAAUCCCAUUAUAUAUGGCUGAGAAGUUAGCAUAUUUUAUGGACCUGUUAAGAUGCUUCUGAUUACAAGGCAUAAAUAUAAUUUAUGCUCAAUCGUAAAAUGAAGGAAAUGUAUUGGCUCACAUGGAAAAGUCCAAAGGUGUGUGGGCUUCAAGCACAGUUUGAUCAAGGCUUCCUUUGUGAGUUACUCUGUUUGUCUCCACUGUAUGUUCUGGCUUUCUUCUUGUCUUCCCUCAGGAUUACACUGUGACUGUUAGUAGCAACCAGGGCUGCAGAUUCCAGGAAAAAACAGGAAGAGUGAGAAGAGAAAGGAAAAAAAAAAUGCCUGCUUUCUGCCACUUUUUGUUCCAUUCCAAUCUUUCACCAUUUGUCCCCAUGGCAGGACCUAACAAAAAGCCAGAGGGUAGGAGAGCUGAGAAUCAGCUCCAAUACAGAGCAGAUGAAGGGAAGUGUGGGAACAUGAAUCUUAAAGCAAACGAGCAGAUGUUUGGCACAGGUUCAAAAGAUACUAGACAGCCCAAAUGAAGUGGCCCUCUUAGGAGUGGCCCUGGAGCAAGGUACACAGAAAUCCUCCCAGCACACAGAACCUGAGGAACUCAUUCCACUGCCGGCUUGUGGAGGCCUUGUCCUUCCUAGGCCACAGGAGGUGAUGGCUGUCAUGUAUUGGUCGCAUAGUACGCCAUUAGAAAUGGUAUGCUAUUCUGAGCCAGAGUUUGCCUCUCAGCUAGCCGGUUCCCUGCCUUUCCACAGUGAGUUGGGAGUGGCUGAAUGCCAUAUUUAGCCACAUCCUGACCUGAACAAAGGGAAUUCCCAUCACAUGGAAAUCCUGAGUGCUGGAAGCUUGCUGCUGUUCUAAGUGAAGGCAGCUUUGGGUUGUAUUUGGGAAAGAGGGCAAGAGUGCUUAGAUGGUACAAACAAAAGUUGUAUUUCAUUCAGGAAAACAUAUAUGAAAAAGGAGAGUGUGUGCUAGACGGGGACUGGGCUGUGGUUGCUAUUGUCCUGGGCUGUUAGCAUGGUUUUCCUCCCUCCUCCAGACGCUCCAGAAUUUUAACAGGGACCCCACACUAGUAAGAUAUUUGGCUUGGAGAGCGCUUUAUAUAGUGCACAUGGCCAAAACCCUCAAUUUCCCAUGAUCUUUGUCUGCAUACUCUUCAGGAGUGGGGAUUAUAGUGGAAUGCCUGUGGACCAGCCAGCCAAUGGGUUAGAUGAAGCGGACAGCUGUUGUUUUUGUCUGUCCGUCAUCCCUUCCUUGGGAACUAACCUCUGCCCUCCAUGUGGUUCUGGAAAGGGCUCAAAUAACAGGCAAGUAUAUCUUGUCUCCAGAGGAGUCCAUGUGACCUCAGGUAGGCCAAUCUGAUACUCUUCCAGGAAUUUGAACUGGGGACAGAUACAACUGGGCCAGGAAGAAGCUGAUGAUGGCUCAUCUGGUGGCAGAGCCCUGGAGUUUCUUACUGGAAUCUCUAGCAAUGCCUUGCUCCCUGUCCUUCCUGAGGCCCGGGUGGUCAGCUAUGUGCAUUCCCCAGUGUUCCUCCUAUAAACCUUUUCUUCUGUCAUGAGAGUUUUGUGUUUCUGAUAACCAAAAACCUCUGAGACAAGAAUCAACAUGAUUUAAAGACUGCUGUCAGCACAGAGCUUAAGAUUGAAGUCGGAUCUCUAUUGCUGGGCUUAUUUGGGACAGAGAUACUCUAAGUUCACACACAUCACCAGGGUUCUGGGACAAGAUGUGUUGCACAGAAGCUCAUGGAGCCUAUAUGCUUUUGAAGAACAGGAAGGUGGAAGAAAACAUUCCAUAACCUGGGUCAUAUGUUUUCUUAGAAGAUAUGGUUUCAAAGUAACACAUGAAUUUUCUUUUUAUCUAAUAUUAUAAAAAGUAAUAUAUUAAAGAUGCUUCUUCAGGAUAAACAUACUCUUGCCUUCUGCCUGCUGAAUUUUAUGAAAAGGGUAAUGUUUUUUCUUUAUUAGUGCUAUGCAUGUGUAAUGGAUAGUGUGGUAAAUAGUGUGCUAAAUUCACAGUAAAACUUCAUAUAUUUUACUGUGAUUUUAGAAUAGUCUGUUGCUGAAAGAUAACUGUUGAACAUGCACAGAUGCAUAUGAUUCUGAACACUGUGCUUACAAAUAAUUUAUUCUUAUUUCAUACAUUUGUUUUUCAGCAAAAAAUGCAUAGUUAUAUUAUUUACACAGAAUUUCAUAUUCAAGACUGUAGGGAACAAAUGUCUCAGGAAACCAAAAUCAUAGCAAAUCAUACAACAGAAAUGUGUCACAAUUUUUUUUUCAGCUACAUGCACAGGGCUGGCCAAAGUGAUACCUAUUUCUAUAGAUUAUUUUGUUUAUCACAUAAUGCAGAAUUAUGAUUAGGUAAUGCUUUUCUGUUAGAAUACACUAUUGAUUUGAAACCACAUGGUAGUUCAUAUCUGGAAACUCACAUAUCCUGAGAAUGCCUCUCUUGCUAGUUAAAUACAGUUCAUUAGGAAGUAGGUGAGGACAGGAGUUAAGGGUAGCCUAAAAAGAAUGAACCUGGCAAGCAAUGGGAAAAAUUUCUUUAUGUGUGCAUCAUUUUUACUCCCUUCUUUCUCCAUCAUCAACCUUAAAUGAACUUAAAAACAAAAACAAAAACCAGACACAUGAAGGUCUCUAUUUGAUCACUCUAUUUGUUCCUCUGCCUCUGACCUGAGGAAGAAAUGAGUAUGGCCUUUCAAGUAUAAUGCCCUUUACUGCAAAAGGGGACCUGCUGGUAGUACAUUCUUGCAAAUCCAAGGACAGUCACCAUAUUUAAAUCCUUAGUUUGGAAAUGGAUGAAGCUCAUAAGGCAGAUGGUUGGAGAAGGCCGAAAUACACAUGGCAUCCUUUUAGAAAUCUUUUCUCUUCAAGCCCGGUAUGUGGUAAGUGAAGGCUUCAUUGGUAGUGAAAAUGGCCUGGGAGAUGGCUGAAAUGAAGAGAGUUCAGAGCGAUCACAUGCUCUAUGCAGAUUUAAAAAAGCAGCCACAGAAUUCUCCUCCAGCCCUGAAACACAGAAAACCUUUUCCUGGUACAUGUAGUGAUGGCAUGGGGCGUACUCUUCUUUGUACUCUGAGAAACAAGGGACAGAGUUCCAGGGUUGUACAUUUUACUGACUGUGUUACUCGCCAUGCUUAUAACUUUAUCAAAGUGAAAUGUGCUUCACUUCUUUAUUGCCUUGGUACUCAGCUAAUUGGUUAGAAUAAUUUUGUUCAUAGGCUCCAGAAAAGAAAACCAGCCUCGUUGAAAAGUAGACCUUUUGUGCUAGGUUUUGCUGGGAGAGGGAAUUUAAUAAAGUUUCUAACCAGAAUUUUUAAAAAUACUUUUAAAUUUAGCCAUAAGACACAUCUAAAACCUCUCUAACGUGUUUUCUUCUUUUUUAAAAAAUGAUUUGUAUCCUUCUUUUAACUAUACAUUAUUUAUAUUUUAAACUACCUACCAGGUCUUUAUCAUUUGGGUGAGAGCUCAAGGUGAUUAAACUCCCCGAUAAAGAUGAGUCUUUCCAAAAAGCUCUGGUUCUCAUUUUGUGCUAAGGCCUAUUUUUACAAACAAAUUGCUAUUAGAAACUUUACAAAUAUAAAAUUGAAAUACUUCUUUAAAAAAUUUUCCCAUUAAUUUUAUUUUUGCAUUCAGCAUAUUAAGAGAAAGACUAUGCUUUCCAACUAGAGAUGGAACUAAGAAGAAAUAAAAUUGUGUUCCCAUGCUUUAUCUAGAAACAAGGGUUUAUUUACAUGGUGUCCUUCUUCAAUAUCAUGGUGAACUGGGAGAAGCAGGACCAUCUUCAUAGCAUGGCCAAAUGACCACCUGAAGACAGACCCCCCCAUUCUACCUUGAGUGCUUAUUGCAUAUUUUGGGUGGAGGUAUAAGGCGUGAGAGAAAGGUGGCCUGUCAGUUUUACACAUUCGAGAAUAAUUUUGCACAUUCAAGAAAUUUUCCUUGAGAAAUGCCAUGUUUGGAAUAGCUUCCAGAGAUUGAGAACAAAAGCAUUAGAGCGAGUGCAUUACAUUUAGAAGCACAAUGCAUUGGGAAACAUUCUCAAAAGCUCAAAGAAUAGGCUGUUUUUCCAUUGAGCUAAAUAGUAAAUAGGUGUGCAUACUGUUGCAUAUAGGAAUAUGUUCAGAGCUUUCAAAAGUCACAUCCUGCCACAAUUAACAGCUAAAUGAGCACUCUUGGACCUUGACUUAUAAAUAAACACUCUGCAACUUGUUCACAGAUUCUUAAGAAGCCAUUCUAGAACAAAAAUGCCUACAAAUUGGUUAGAAACCUGCAAACCAGAAAUGCAAUACAGUUAUUCUUUCUUAAAUGACAACAACAGAAAUCUGUAUUAGCUUUUUGGAAGAGUGACUAAGAAAGACUGAUAUCCAUUUUCACAAUUAAGAAAUAAUUAUUCAUAAUAUUGAAGAAACCAAAUCUUCCAUAAGAAAAUGUGUGGCCUCUCACAAAAGAAUACAACAGUGCUCAGCUUCAACCACUGAAUGCUUCCUUUUUCUGUUUGUCUAGAUUUGUUUGCUUUUUGUCAGGCAAUAUAUGUCAGACAAUAUUGGCAAUCCUUCAAGAAAAUGAUUCCAAAGGUGAUUUACAAUUGGCCGGUGCUAUCCCCUAAUGCCUUUUUGCCUACAUCCUAAUUUCAUGGAAACAAAUUAAGGACAUUAAGCCAGGAGAUAAAUGUACUACUCAAAUAUGCCUGGACACUCAUGCUCAGGUCAAAAGCUGCAGGAUGUGGUUAAGCUGACAAAAAGAAUUCCUUGCCUGUCUACUUGAACACUAACACCCUGGGAGUUCACAUGCUUUUCUGAAGACAAUUUAAAGGCUAACUGCACAGUUAAACUUGCUGCCCCAUUCUGACUGUUUGACUCUAAUCCUCUUUGUUCUCUCCUUCCCAUGCAUUCUUCCUAUCUUUUUUACAUCUGACAUUUUUUAAUGAUUUCCUCCAAAUUAAUGUUUUCUAAGACAUGUUUCAUAAGUCAUGACACAAAUAUUUAAAAGAGGAAAAGGGCUAGAGAACAUUAAUCUCAUUAAGUUUGGAGGUCUAAGCAUUUGAGUUCUUAUGUAUGUGGUUUGUUUGUUGUUGUGUUGUUUUUACUUUAUUACACUAUAAAAUUCAGACACUUAACGACAUCACAAUUUAGGCACAUUGGAUGAUCCACUCUUCAUCAUAGUUUGAAUGUUAUCAACCUUCCAAUAGUUGUUACUAAUGUUUUCAUAAUAUCAGUGAUAAGUUUUUCAAUUCUGUACAGAUGCCGACUAUACCCUCCCCUGGAUUUACAUUACAUUUUCAAGCUUUUUUUUAACAAUAGGCCUAGAAGCAGACAGAAAAAGAGAAAAGAAAGAAAUUGAUUGCUGAGGAAGUCAGUGUGUGAACAGAAAUAAGAUUCUAUGCAUUGCACUUACGCUAACAGAAAAGAGACUCAAACUCAGGGACUUACAGCAUUCUGCCUACAGCUAAGAUAAGAGUUUGGUUCCUGGACAGAGAGACUUUCUGGGGCUUCUCUGUUCCACCAGAAGACAAAAAGGUAAUCGCUGUAAUAAUACAGAUGGGUUCUUGCCCAAUGUCUUACACACAGUAGGUGCUCAAUGAUCAGGAAAGGGAUGGCAUGAAUGAACAGCUCAAAGAAUGCUGACAGAGUGAAGUCAGCAGUGGUAAACUUCAGUAUUGAAGAACAAGAUGAGAACAGCCAUUUUAAGUGGCUGAUAACAUUUUGUGUGAGAUAUUUCGAUCUAAUUUCAAAGACAGCCAUGUCUUUGCUGUUUUAAAGUUAGUCAGUUAAGGGACUGUCUUUAUAUCAUUUUUCCAAUUAGUGUCUGUGUGCUUGGUCAAGCAUCAUAGCCAUGCAAACUAGUAAACACAACUGAGCACACAAACGGUCCCUGCAUUCUAAUUCCAGUUUGAAAACUUAAUCCUGUCACCUUGGACCAACUGUAAAGCCUUGAGACGGAGAUAACUUCUACCAUACCUGUCUCCUAUUAUAGCUUUGUGCAGAUGAACUAAUUAAAGUUAUGAAGAGAUUUGAAGAUAAAAAUUCCUGUUUAUUAUUGCUGUUAGUCCUCAGAUUUGGCACCAAAUCAGGAAAAAAUGAUAAAAAUCACCUCUAUCCUGAAAUUUUGCAUUCUUAGAAAUAAUUCCCAUGAAGUAUCACUAUAAAUUAGGCUAAAUGGUU